rnacentral:lncRNA from 1 species
CGCAGCAUCCUUGGUAGCGAGAACUGAGCCUUCAACUGGGGCAGGCUCGGGUAGGACAGACUCAUCCUCAUCCGACGAAAAUGCACCAACCUUGUCAUCACUAUUCUCGAGGCAAAGACGGCUUAGAUCUAGCUUGGGAACCAUCCGAUAAAGACAUGCCUUGCAAGCAUGAGAGCCAUAUAUGUAGGCAAUCAGGAAGGCUUCGACGACUUCUUUCUCAAACUCCGCCAAGGC